UACGAAGGGGGCUAGCGUUGUUCGGAAUUACUGGGCGUAAAGCGCACGUAGGCGGCUUUGCAAGUUAGAGGUGAAAGCCCGGGGCUAACUCCGGAAUUGCCUUUAAAACUGCAUCGCUAGAGUUGUGGAGAGGUAAGUGGAAUUCCGAGUGUAGAGGUGAAAUUCGUAGAUAUUCGGAAGAACACCAGUGGCGAAGGCGACUUACUGGACACAUACUGACGCUGAGGUGCGAAAGCGUGGGGAGCAAACAGG
rnacentral:rRNA from 1 species